GUGAAGACCAAGCUUGUCUGGAGCAGUAGAAAGUCAAGGAGAUGCGGUGGAGAACUGGAAUCAAACCCAGGGCUUCAUGCAUCUUAGUAAAUACUCUGCCAGCUGAGCUACAUCCCCAGCACUUGGAGAAGACUUUUGGCUCUGCAAAGAAUUAUGCUUUUGAUAUAAGUAGCCGUUGGUUCAGCAGACAGUAACAAGGGAAAGGGCUAUGGCCUUGGAUGCCACUGGGUCCAGUUCUACAGCCUCAAUAAUUCAAGGCCUUCAAGACGGCAUAGCCAGUGGAGAAACCCAGGAGAUGACGGAGAAAUAAAGGAAGGCAGCAGCAAUCCUCUCCACCCUCUCCCCUUCCCAACGGGCUGCCUGGAAGAUGCUCCGGUCCAAAUGGGAAAUGGGAGCUAAAAUAGCACAAUAAAGGAAAGGAAGUGCUCA